rnacentral:misc_RNA from 1 species
AAGUCGUAACAAGGUUUCCGUAGGUGAACCUGCGGAAGGAUCAUUAUAAAAUUUUCAUAUAUUAUUUAUUUAUUUAAUUAAUUAAUAUAUAAAAUUUAUACAAAAAUGUAUUCAAAACCCACACUCUUUAUAAUAACCAUAAAAAAAACACAUUAUAUCUCGUAUAUAAUAUAAAAAAACAACUUUCAACAACGGAUCUCUUGGCUCUC